CCUACGGGAGGCAGCAGUGGGGAAUAUUGCGCAAUGGGCGAAAGCCUGACGCAGCGACGCCGCGUGAGGGAUGAAGGUCUUCGGAUCGUAAACCUCUGUCAGCAGGGACGAACGGUCACUGUGCUAAUCAGCAGUGAAUUGACGGUACCUGACCAAGAAGCCCCGGCUAACUACGUGCAAGCAGCCGCGUUAAUACGUAGGGGGCAAGCGAUAUCCGGAUUUACGGGGUGGAAAGGGGGCGCAGACGGCAAUGCAAGGCAGGGGUGAAAGCCCGGGGCCAAACCCCGGGACUGCUCUUGGAACUGCAUGGCUGGAGUACAGGAGGGGCAGGCGGAAUUCCUAGUGUAGCGGUGAAAUGCGUAGAUAUUAGGAGGAACACCGGUGGCGAAGGCGGCCUGCUGGACUGUGACUGACGUUGAGGCCCGAAGGCGUGGGGAGCAAACAGGAUUAGAUACCCUAGUAGUC
rnacentral:rRNA from 1 species